rnacentral:rRNA from 1 species
AUGAUUCGUGGGACGUCCUGCCGGUGGUGGCGAGUCGAAGGUGUGCUCCCGUCGUGGUCUCCACUUCGGUUCUUGGGCGCCCGAGGCGGACCCCGAUGAAAUCCUACCGCGGUGCUCUUCACCGAGUGUCGAGGUGGGCCGGCACGUUUACUUUGAACAAAUUAGAGUGCUUAAAGCAGGCCUGUUGCGCCUGAAUACUGUGUGCAUGGAAUAAUGGAAUAGGACCUCGGUUCUAUUUUGUUGGUUUUCGGAACCCGAGGUAAUGAUUAAUAGGGACAGGCGGGGGCAUUCGUAUUGCGACGUUAGAGGUGAAAUUCUUGGAUCGUCGCAAGACGGACCGAAGCGAAAGCAUUUGCCAAGUAUGUUUUCAUUAAUCAAGAACGAAAGUUAGAGGUUCGAAGGCGAUCAGAUACCGCCCUAGUUCUAACCAUAAACGAUGCCAGCUAGCGAUCCGCCGAAGUUCCUCCGAUGACUCGGCGGGCAGCUCCCGGGAAACCAAGCUUUUGGGUUCCGGGGAAGUAUGGUUGCAAGCUGAAACUUAAGGAAUUGACGGAAGG